AAAAGCUCCGGCAGUAUAGGAUGGUCCCGCGUCUGAUUAGCUGGUUGGCGGGGUAACGGCCCACCAAGGCGACGAUCAGUAGCCGGCUUGAGAGAGUGGACGGCCACAUUGGGACUGAGACACGGCCCAAACUCCUACGGGAGGCAGCAGUGGGGGAUAUUGCACAAUGGGGGAAACCCUGAUGCAGCGACGCCGCGUGAGUGAAGAAGUAUUUCGGUAUGUAAAGCUCUAUCAGCAGGGAAGAAAAAAGACGGUACCUGACUAAGAAGCCCCGGCUAACUACGUGCCAGCAGCCGCGGUAAUACGUAGGGGGCAAGCGUUAUCCGGAAUUACUGGGUGUAAAGGGUGCGUAGGUGGCAUGGUAAGUCAGAAGUGAAAGCCCGGGGCUUAACCCCGGGACUGCUUUUGAAACUGUCAUGCUGGAGUGCAGGAGAGGUAAGCGGAAUUCCUAGUGUAGCGGUGAAAUGCGUAGAUAUUAGGAGGAACACCAGUGGCGAAGGCGGCUUACUGGACUGUCACUGACGCUGAUGCACGAAAGCGUGGGGAGCAAACAGGAUUAGAUACCCUGGUAGUCCACGCCGUAAACGAUGA
rnacentral:rRNA from 1 species